GCUGUCCCUAGUACGAGAGGACCGGGACGGACGUACCUCUAGUGUGCCAGUUGUUCCGCCAGGGGCAUCGCUGGUUGGCUACGUACGGAAGGGAUAACCGCUGAAAGCAUCUAAGCGGGAAGCCUGUUUUAAGAUGAGGUUUCAUUUGAGGUCCCCUAAAGACUAUGGGGUUGAUAGGCCAGACAUGGAAGCACCGCAAGGUGUGGAGUCUACUGGUACUAAUAGACCAAAACAAACACACACGAC
rnacentral:rRNA from 1 species